rnacentral:rRNA from 1 species
UACGGGGGAGCAAGCGUUGUUCGGAUUUACUGGGCGUAAAGGGCGCGUAGGCGGUCAGCACAAGUCAGUUGUGAAAUCUCCGGGCUUAACUCGGAAAGGUCAACUGAUACUGUGCGACUAGAGUGCGGAAGGGGCAACUGGAAUUCUCGGUGUAGCGGUGAAAUGCGCAGAUAUCAGGAGGAACACCAAUGGCGAAGGCAGCUCACUGGGACGGUAUUGACGCUGGAGACGCGAAAGCGUGGGGAGCAAACAGG